CCCUCUCGGGUGUCUGCCAGCCCCGGGCCUGGAGGCUCCACGUCCCAACCCCCCCUCGCCCCUCAACCCAGACUCUGAGCCCUCGCGGCCUUCCUCCCACCGUCCUGGGACACAGCUGCUCGCCUCCCGAGAAGAGCCCCUGGGUCUGCCCAGGAAGGUAACCCGAUCCUUCCCGUCGCCCCGGAUGCAGCUUUCCCCACCCCUUCCCCACCGGAGUCUGCCUGUGGCCCGGAGACAGGCUGGCCUCGCUGAAGGACCCGCUCUGCUUUCCACGGGCCUCCUGGCCUAGAGCGUAACUCACCAUCCACCUGCUCUCUUCACCUUGAAGAGUGCACUUGUGCGUGAAGACCCGAGUUCUUUCGGGAGCCGCUGUGGAGAAGUCCCAGGACACACAAGGAAAACCCCUCAGAUGGGAGGCAGUGGAGCCCGGCAGUGACAGCGCAUCCAGAAAACAGCGGCCUGUGAGCACUCCUGUUGCUCAUCACUCCGGAGCCACGUUCCUGCUGGGAAUCUCUGUCCUCCCCAGGAUGUCAAGGGCUGAUGGGCGCCUGUCCGCGGAGAGGCAGUGGAGCCGUCUUCCUGUUUCUCUUUUCUUCACUGUCAGUCCCCAAGGAGGGACGCAUUCCCGCGCUGCCCUUGCUGAGUGAGCUCUGCUGGUGAGGGACGAAGGGGCCCGGCUCCCCGCGAUUCCACCGGGAAAGGGAGCUACGGGACUUAGGGCUGAGCCGCAGCAGCUGUGCCCGGCCCGGAAGGCAGGGCUGCUGGGAGCUUGAGCUUCUCUUACCUGCUAACAUAAAAGCAAGCAUCACCAGCAUUCUCAUUGGAACAACACUUAUCUGUCAGUUGAGGGCAAGCAUAGGUUGGCUAUAAAUACACAAGUUUGGCAAAAAUCAA